AUGAAAGAAAGAGAGGAAAAGGAAAAGGAAAAGGAAAAGGAAAAGGAAAAGGAAAAGAAGGAAGGAAGGAAGGAAGGAAGGAAGGAAGGAAGGAAGGAAGGAAGGAAGGAAGGAAAGAAAGAAGAAGAAAGAAAGAAAGAAAGAAAGAGAAGGAAGGAAGGAAAAGAAAGAAAGAAAGAAAAAAGAAAGAAAAGAAAGAAAGAAAGAGAAAGAAAGGAAGAAAGAAAGAAAGAAAGAAAGAAAGAAAAGAAGGAAGGAAGGAAAGAAAAGAAAGAAAGAAAGAAAGAAAGAAAGAAAGAAAGAAAGAAAGAAAAGAAAGAAAGAAAGAAAGAAAGAAAGAAAGAAAGAAAGAAAGAAAGAAAGAAAGAAAGAAAGAAAGAAAGAAAAGAAGGAAGGAAGGAAGGAAAGAAAGAAAGAAAGAAAGAAAGAAAGAAAGAAAGAAGAAAAGAAAGAAAGAAAGAAGGAAGGAAGGAAGGAAAGAAAAGAAAGAAGAAAGAAAGAAAGAAAGAAAGAAAGAAAGAAAGAAAGAAAGAAAAGAGAGGGGAAGGGAAGGGAGGGGAGGGGAGGGGAGGGGAAGGGAAGGGAGGGGAGGGGAGGGGAGGGGAGGGGAGGGGGAAGGGGAAGGGAAGGGGAAGGGAAGGGAAGGGAAGGGAAGGGAGGAAGGAAGGAAGGAAGGAAGGAAGGAAGGAAAGAAAGAAAGAAAGAAAGAAAGAAAGAAAGAAAGAAAGAGAAAGAAAGAAAGAAAGAAAGAAAGAAAGAAAGAAAGAAAGAAAGGAAGGAAGGAAGGAAGGAAGGAAGGAAGGAAGGAAGGAAGGAAGGAAAGAAAGAAGAAGAAAGAAAGGAAGAAAAGAAGAAAGAAAGAAAGGAAAGAAAGAAAGAAAGAAAGAAAGAAAGAAAGAAAGAAAGAAAGAAAGAAAAAAAAGGGAAGGAAAAGGGAAGGGAAGGGAAGGGAAGGGAAGGGAAGGGAAGGGAAGGGAAGGGAAGGGAAGGGAAGGGAAGGGAAGGGAAGGGAAGGAGCUUUUGGGUGGUUCAGUGGUUGAGUGCCUGCUUUUGGCUCAGGGCGUGAUCCGGGGUCCUGGAAUAGAGUCCUGCAUCAGGUUACCUGCAGGGAGUCUGCUUCUUAGACUCUUCACAGAGUCUGUCUCUGUGUCUCUCAUGAAUAAAUAA
rnacentral:lncRNA from 1 species